ensembl:snRNA U4 U4 spliceosomal RNA
AGCUUUGUACAGUGGCAGGACCGUAGCCAAUGAGGUUAUCUGAGGCACGAUUAUUGCUAAUUGAAAACUUUUCCCAACACCCUGCACGACAACUUGAAAUUGGCAUUGGCAAAUUUUGGCAGUCUCUACAGAGA